GGCAGCAACCCUGACAACCAAAGGUUAAACUGAGGCGACGAUCACACUGAGAAUGAAGCUCAAACACAAGCGCACAUUUCCCCCUCUGGUGGUCCAGACCAGCCAACAGCAAGCUGGGAGGGUGAAACUGAAGAAGGUCGACGUGAGUUUCGACUCCAUGUUCACAUCUGAAGAUGCUGUUUGCUGGUCAGGACAGACGCUGCUGGUGGCAACUUAACAUCCGCCUCAUCAGGACGGCGACUGAAAUCCACCCCCCUUUUUAAUCUGACAUAAUAAAGACUUACAACGCGACUUUUACACCGACAACUUGAGAAUUCACUGGAUUUUAGCAGGAAAAUUUUAGAUCAGUCUGACAGAAAGACUCAAAACAAGCAGCUAAAACAUUACAGAUCCUCCGUCUUUGUUCAACAUGUGGAGCUGCACACAGAACGUUGAUCCGAGUUACAGAAAUGUUUAACUGUGUUUGGAUUUGAGUUGGUUCACCGUUCAGAGGCGACCGGACGGACUCGUGCCACAGUUUGCUUGUAGUGAUCAGUAAAGUUCACUAACAGCUACAACUUGACUCGGCGCUUAACAGACUUGAGACUGACUUCAGUGACUCUGACAGUAAAAUAAAAACUAAGACUUUUAUAGCCACACAUUUCCAGACAUUAUUCCAACACAACCUGCCCCAGAAUGCAAUGCUUCGGGAGAAGUGCGCUUGUCGUUUUCUAACUGCUUCCUGUCUGAUCGUCGCCUCAGUCCGCCCGGCAGGCGAACAUCUGGACAGAAAUCUCAGCAUUCAAACAGUUUGUAUAAUUCAACUAUAAUUCUAAUAUAAAUCAAUUCAACAGACUCUAUAAAGACAAGUGGAAUUUCAAAGUUUUACUUAAUUGUAGUUUCACAAAAGCAACUUUUGAGCAAAUGUUGUUCGCUCACAAACUGCAGAACAACUUGUGAAACAAAUGUGACAUUUGAUUAGUGAAAUAUGGCCAAAAACAGCAGGCGAGGAAACUUCAGAUCAAGACACAAACACAAGAAGAAGCAUUCGGUCCAAAUUUAGCUAAAAUUUAACUAUUUAAACUCUCCUCUCAUGGCACUUUGAGGUUCAUUUCCUGCCGUCGCUGUGAUUUCUGCCCAGAUCCUGAAGGUGUGAAGCUCGUGACGUCGCUCCACCUGCGGCGCUCCGACAGAUCACUACGACUUCACGUCCAUCGAGCCGCCUGCCGGGCGGCGUGUUAGGGUUGCUGUCUCUCACCAGAGAAGAACAUUUAUUUAUUUUUAUUUUUAACUUUUUUUUUUUUUUUUAAUUGUUAACUUUUAUCAACAGACUCAAAAAACAUAUUCAGAGAGCUUGUGAAGCUCGAUGGAGCUCACUGAGGAAACAGGUGAACAAUGUGAUGUUAUUUUAGAGUGGUGAGGAGGAGGAGGAGGAGGAGGAGGAGGAGGAGGAGGAGGAGGCCCAGGAGAGUUGAAUGCAGGACUGAUGGAGGCUGUUGAAUCGCUCUGACUGCAGAGACGAGACGAGUUGGUUUUUCCAGCGACUCUCCGUCGUCCUGCCAGCCCGGCCGUUGCUAAGUAACUGGUGUUUUCAGUGCCAGCUGAUGUCUGAAAUGCCGGCGACUCACCACGCAGCCGAUCGGCAAACUGAGCUCUGCUGCACGUCUGCAGCCAACUCGCCUCAGCUCGGAAGAAACGGGGGUGAGGAUCAGGCCACCAGGACGACGACGAGGGGAAUCGGUCCUGUGGCGCAAACCGACCGUCAGCUGGACGUCUGAACGGAAAACCUGCCGGACCCACAGCAGCUCCUCAGGCGACCCGAUCCGGCUCCAGCUGUAAUGGGUUUCCUGGCGGUCGGCGGUCUCCCGUCAAGCCUCCUGAACCUUCGAGCUGAAAUCCCCCGAACAGAGAAACAAUUUGAAGCCGCUCCCAUCGGCUCUUCUCUCUGCGAGGGUCUGACACUGAAACACAACGCUUCACUUCCUGUUCGGAUCGAGAGGCUGGAAACAAGCGGGACUAACGCCAUGACAUCACACGAAGAGUUCUGGAUUCAUUAUCACAGGUUCUGCUCUGACUCUCAUCUUGGGACUCAUCUGGAGUCUCCUCCCUCAGAUUGAACCUCCAUCGUCCCCGUCUACCUGCGGCAGGAAACCCUCCGAGGCUCUUCCUCCCUCCUCUUCAUCCUCCUCGGUGUUGGAAACUAAUCUUCACUCUUCUCUGUGAAGCUCUCAAAGUUUCCCAGGCUCUCCAGAGGGGUCCUCUAUGCAGGGAGGGUGACCGAACCUCCGCCGGAAGGAAAAACAUCGACAGACAGAACGAGGAUGAUUUCUGUCUGGUGUCUGUCGGGGGGCUGUUGUCCUCUGCUGACUGAAUGCAGCAGGAUCAGGAUGGAUUUAUUUCUUUUGAGGGUUUUUUUUUUCAUUUUGGGGGAACUUAUAAAAUAUUUGGGUCCCUCGCGGAUCCCGCGGGGGCGUCGCAGACAUCAGACGUGCGGUUUGAAAAAGGAGUUUUAGUUUCAGGACUUUUUCACAGACGAGUGAGGAUCACUGAAGAGCUUCAUCUCCACGAUACGGAUCCGUUUCCAGCUCACGUCCUCUGAUUACUGAGUUUUAUCUUGGUGGUGUUUUAUCUUUUCUUAAGUGCUUCUGUCAGUUUGUGUCUGCUGAGCUUCAGACGAGUCAUGAUUUCUGUUAAUGUUGGAAAAUCCACUCACUUAUGCUGCGAUCAGGCUGCAGCUGAGCGUCUACACAGGUUCUGUUUUUAUCUUCAGACAGAAAACACGGCUGAGUUCACCGCUAACGGAAAUCUGAACAGUUCUGGAUGUUUAGUCAGAAUUUAGAUCAUAAAAUCCUGCAGAUAAAAGCUUCUGCUUUAAUCUCCCUCAGUAGUUUCCGACAUUUUCCCAGUUUUGUCCAAAACUGGAACAUAUUUCUCCAAAAAGUUCAAACUUUUUUGACCAAGUAGCGUCGAGCUUCAUCUUGACCUGCACCACAAGAUAUAAUUAUAAUAGAUUUGCCGGAAUAAUUCUCUACGUACCUGCGAGGUGGGCGGAGCUUAAACCGUCUGUUUUUUCUGAACACUUGAUUUUCUCGCUCUUGAAUGCAACUCUUCAGUCGUUCUCACUCGUCGGCGUGUUUAUUGAUGGCGAACUAAAAACAUCUGAUAGAAAGAAGUUUGAUGUUACACACACACACACACACACACACACAGCUGUUUAUACUUCUGUGAGGUCACUGAAGCCACUUUCUUCACUUUUGCAAAAGAAAUUCACACAUUUGUCCUGAACAGUCCUCACUUCGCUAAACGUCCCCACUAACAGGUGUGAUUCUCAAGUCCUCACAAAGAUAGAAGUACAAACACACACACACACGAUGGUAUACAGUAUAGUGUGUAACCACGUCCACAGCACUGCCUUUGUAUUCACGUACACACACACACUGGCUGUCGAACACUCCCAGCAGCUCACUGCCGAACCGACGACUUCACUUCCUGUCUCUAGACUCCGCCCCCUCCUCGUCACCCUCUUCACACUGUCUCCCUCUCUUAUCCUCGCGGCCGGCUUCUCUCCUCGAGCUCUGACAUUUGUUCGAUUUCAUUUCCCUGCACCGACCCGACAGGUGAAAUUCAUUUGUGUUGCUCUAUGAAGAAGAUAAAGCACGAAGGAGUAAUAAAGAGGAGCUCUGAGAGAGGACGGCGGCGUCCUCCGUCUUAUCUCUUCACGUCUUCUCUCUCGUCUCUCACAGAAAACUCUCAUUAGUCUGUCAGCUGCUGCAGGAGGGAAAUAAAUCCAUGCAGAGGCUUUAAAUCUGCCGUCAGGUGCUCUGAGGCUCAGGACAGGUGUGUUCACCUGCAGGCAGAACAGGUUCAGAGUUACAUUACAGUUAUGAUGAUGAGGUGACAAGAGAUCAUGUGACUUUGUAUCAUCAGGAGGAGGAGAGGAUCCAAAGAGAAUCACAUUAUUACGCAGCCUGAAUUCUUUGUCAUUUUUAACGGGCUGUGAGCUCUGAGACAAUGAUGUAGUUCACCUCCAGUGAAAAGGGGCGGAGCAGAAACCUCCGUCAGGUGCAGGUCAGAUUAUCUGGCUCCGUCAGUCUCGACUGUAAACGACUCUGCUGUGUGUUAAUGAGGCUUGUUUCCCCGGGACGACGACAGCGAUGCCGUUAAUUAUUAUUGGCAUCAAUUAUCACCUGAUUAACACAGAUGGAGAGAGACGAGCCGAAUCCACCCGGAUCAACAUGACGAGAAACAAAUCUGUCGGCUGAAUCUGAACGAACAUUUUCUCAUUCGUCACCUUCUGCUGCUGAGUCAGAGACGAAACAAAAACACAUCAUCUUAACGAUUUGAAUAUUUGGUGAAUGUGUUUGUGACGUUUCGAUCGGUGGGUUCAGAUGUUUGUAUCUUCUGACCUUCUGUACAUUCGUAGGUCUGAUCAGUGAAGUUUAGAAACAGUCUAAUUAAAUCCUGACUGAUCUGUGAAUAUCGAUCAGCUGACGGACUGAUGAGAUGUUUUUAUUGAUCGAGCGGUUGUCGAGCGAUGCGUUCACUUCCUGCUGCAGACGUCCGUGUGUUUGUGCGUCUGAGCUUCGUCUGAUCCCUUUAAUUCUGCCGUCUGCCUUUCAGCCAUCUGCAUCCUCCUGCUGUUCCUCCUCCUCCUCCUCCUCCUCCUCUUCGCCUCCCUCUGCUUACUCAUCAUCUUGAUCGCUCUCCUCCUCCCACACCUUCAUCCCUCCUCCACUGCCUCAUCUUGAUGCUCACUCCUCCUCCUCCUCCUCUUCCUCCUUGCCUUACACUAAGCCUGUUUACAUAGGAUUGGAAGCUGCAGCAGCUCCGUCACUGCUGUUUUUUACCCUUUAAGGGAGUCGGGAUGGCUUUUCUGUUUUCUGUGUGCGCUCGUGUUCGAUUUCAGGAAACUGCUUCUGAGCUGAACUUUGCCUUUGAACUGCUGGUUUUCCCAAAAUGUCUGUUUUUCUUUCUUUACACUGAGCUGGAAGGGAAAAUCCACCUCAGUCACUGGUGGAGGGCCUCGAGGUCCUGAUCCAAGUGACUGUAAAGAUGUUGUGUAAGAGAGUCAGUCGAAGGACUCUAGGAUGCAAAUCGACUAUUAAAAGAGCCAAAACCACCUGAAAUAGAUGAUGUGGUGAUGAUGAUGAAGAUGAUGUGAUGAUGAUGAAGAUGAUGUGAUGAUGAUGAUGAUGAAGGUGGAUUUUCCCUCUCAGUACUUCCUGUUUGUUCUGAAACUGUGGCUCUUCUUGUUCCGAGCGUUUGCUAACGACCGAGCGACGUGCGGCUGUUUCCUUCUCUGUGUUGUGUUGCAGAAACAAUCGUGCGUUUGUCAGCUCAGCUCGUCGUGUCUGCGGGUCGUCCGAGUGUUCGAGUCACUUCUCUCUGCAGCGUUUCGUUAUCUGGUGACAAUGUGAAGCUCGUUCUCACGUCGCAGCUGAAAAUACUCAGAUGUUUUCACACUGUGUUCUGACGUCACUGUUGUACUUUAUCGGUGCAAAGGUUUCAGUUUUGAUAAAGAUGUAGGUGCUUCAUGGACACGUGAACGUUUUGAUUUCAAAAACAAACCAAACAGAAAGAAAACUGAUCUAUCGAUCAAUCGAACAAAGAAAAUAAAGUCAGUCAACACGCCUGGAGUCAAAGCAUGAAAAUCUUUCUGUUUUAAAACUCAAUUUUAAAUCAAUAUUUCAAAGGUCUCAACAUUUAAUUUGGGCAAAACUUUUUAUUUUUACAAUCACACAUUUAAAAAAAAAUAUUUUGGAAUUGUUAGUUUUUGAGACAUUCUCCAAAACUUUACAUUUCAGAUUUAGUGUUAAAAGUGUUGAAAUAAGUUUAGAUUCAAAAUGAAACUGAAAGACUUUGAUCUCAGCUUCAAAGUGUCUGAAUCUAAAACACGAUGUGAAGAAACUUCGUUACUGUUUCUGAGGUGUGAAAAAUGAAAUGAAGUCAUUUCGUGGUCCUAAAAUAUUUGAUGGCGUCGCCGACUUCUUUCCUUCUGUGACUGUGAGUUGAAUUCUGACGGACGGGUUUUCUCCCGGACGUCACGCCGGCUCUCUCUCUCUUUUGUUGACGGUGUAGAUGACGUGCAGAUUUCCUGACUUCCUGUUGUUGUUGUUUUCUUUUCUACGGCGUAGAUGACGUGCAGGUUGUGUGUUUCGGUGUGUGAUCAGAGCUCCUCUAUAUUUUCUAAGUGGUUGAAAGUUGUCGUGUCCAAACAGAAGUGUAGAUUUCUCUUCCUGCCUCCUGUCUGAGCUCUUUUAUGAGUCUGCGCUCUUGUUUUGUAAAGAAAUAAAACUUCCUGUUGGACCAAACCUCA